rfam:uncultured archaeon A07HN63 genomic scaffold scf7180000020195, whole genome shotgun sequence.
CUGAAGGCCGCGUUCGGGUCACUUGCGGACUGCAACACCCGAUCUCCCUCGGCGUGCCGCCGGAGAUGGCGACACCCGCCGAGGGGGAGCGCGUCACCGUCAG